GACGAACGCUGGCGGCGUGCUUAACACAUGCAAGUCGAACGGAAAGGCCCUGCUUUUGUGGGGUGCUCGAGUGGCGAACGGGUGAGUAACACGUGAGUAACCUGCCCUUGACUUUGGGAUAACUUCAGGAAACUGGGGCUAAUACCGGAUAGGAGCUCCUGCUGCAUGGUGGGGGUUGGAUAGUUUCGGCGGUUGGGGAUGGACUCGCGGCUUAUCAGCUUGUUGGUGGGGUAGUGGCUUACCAAGGCUUUGACGGGUAGCCGGCCUGAGAGGGUGACCGGCCACAUUGGGACGGAGAUACGGCCCAGACUCCUACGGGAGGCAGCAGUGGGGAAUAUUGCACAAUGGGCGGAAGCCUGAUGCAGCAACGCCGCGUGCGGGAUGACGGCCUUCGGGUUGUAAACCGCUUUCGCCUGUGACGAAGCGUGAGUGACGGUAAUGGGUAAAGAAGCACCGGCUAACUACGUG
rnacentral:rRNA from 1 species